AGCGAACGCUGGCGGCAGGCCUAACACAUGCAAGUCGAACGAACCUUUCGGGGUUAGUGGCGGACGGGUGAGUAACACGUGGGAACGUGCCUUUAGGUUCGGAAUAACUCAGGUAAACUUGUGCUAAUACCGAAUGUGCCCUUCGGGGGAAAGAUUUAUCGCCUUUAGAGCGGCCCGCGUCUGAUUAGCUAGUUGGUUGAGGUAAUGGCUCACCAAGGCUACGAUCAGUAGCUGGUCUGAGAGGAUGAUCAGCCACAUUGGGACUGAGACACGGCCCAAAAUCCUACGGGAGGCAGCAGUGGGGAAUCUUGCGCAAUGGGCGAAGGCCUGACGCAGCCAUGCCGCGUGAAUGAUGAAGGUCUGAGGAUUGUAAAAUUCUUUCACCGGGGACGAUAAUGACGGUACCCGGAGAAGAAGCCCCGGCUAACUUCGUG
rnacentral:rRNA from 1 species